rnacentral:tRNA from 1 species
GGGGGUAUGGCGGAAUUGGUAGA